rnacentral:rRNA from 1 species
GACGAACGCUGGCGGCGUGCCUAAUACAUGCAAGUCGAGCGAAGUUUUUCUGGUGCUUGCACUAGAAAAACUUAGCGGCGAACGGGUGAGUAACACGUAAAGAACCUGCCUCAUAGACUGGGACAACUAUUGGAAACGAUAGCUAAUACCGGAUAACAGUAUUUCUCGCAUGAGAGAUAUUUAAAAGUUGGUUAUGCUAACACUAUGAGAUGGCUUUGCGGUGCAUUAGCUAGUUGGUGGGGUAAAGGCCCACCAAGGCGACGAUGCAUAGCCGACCUGAGAGGGUGAUCGGCCACACUGGGACUGGGACACGGCCCAGACUCCUACGGGAGGCAGCAGUAGGGAAUCUUCCGAAAUGGGCGAAAGCCUGACGGAGCAACGCCGCGUGAGUGAAGAAGGAUUUCGGUUCGUAAAGCUCUGUUGUUAGGGAAGAAUGGAUAUGUAGUAACUAUACAUGUAAGAGACGGUACCUAACCAGAAAGCCACGGCUAACUACGUG